GCGGCCUGCCUUCCAGAGGGCCUUGGGACUGGAUCGAAAGAUAUAUCUACUAGAAACAAUGGUAAGUACUUAAAUGUUUGCGUUACUUUAUAUGAUUGUCAUAAAAAACAGUAGCAGAUGUGGAUGACGGGAGGGAGGUAGAGAGCUGGGCAGCAUGGGCAAUAUCGACUUUAGUCUUUCUAUCUUUUUUCAGAAGAGACGUCGUCGACUAGCUCUGAUCGAUCAGAUGUCGGUUUCUCUCAACCAGACCCCAGCGAUAUUGGAAGUUGUUCUCCACGGGCGGGUCUCAGCGACGAAGCCAGUCAAAACCAAAGGACUAUCUCCGAAGAAGGCGGGUCUGGUAGGCUCAGCCAUUGGCCCUCCUCUUCAACGAUCGGUAGUGGACGAAAACGAAAACAAGCGAAUACAGGAACAAACGACACCUGCAGGAAAAAGCAAGCCCGUCGUGAGGGAUUCUCCCAUCCAAACAGUUCUCCACAGCCAGGACCCAGCGGUUAUAACCCGGGACGGCCGACAACAACACCCUCACCAACACCAGGUGAAAUAAGCCAACAUUUCAACGGGGCCUUAACAACGAUCGACGUGCCCGUCCCACCAGCAGACAACGGCGACAUUGCAUCAUAUUUC